UUUUUUUUUUUUUUUUGGUCUUUUAGGGCUGCACUUAUGGCAUAUGGAAGUUCCCAGGCUAGGGUUCAAAUCAGAGCUGUAGCUGCCGGCCACAGCCACAGCCACAUUAACACCAGAUCCAAGCCACAUCUGCGAGCUAUACCUCAGUUCAAAGGCAACAUCAGAUCCUUAACCCACUGGGCAAGGCAAGGUAUCAAACCCACGUCCUCAUGGUUACUAGCUGGGUUUGUUACCACUGACCCGCAAUGGGAACUCCUGUGGUCUUCUGGUUUCAAAAGAACCACCUUAUUUUUCCUCCCCUGAAUCACCCACAUCCAUCCUUCAGAGCCUAGACUAUGCUAGACUGGGUUCCCAGCUUGGGGUAAAAUUAUUCUACUUAGUUUACGAUCUUCGGUCUCCUAGAAACUUUUUUUCCCUUAAUAUCUUUUAAAGACAAGAAGGUUGGAGCAGAGAGUAAGUUUUAUGCCUCAAGUCACACAAUUAGUUUAAGCCAAAAUUGUCAUUGCAUUUGGGUUUUUUGACUCCUGGCCCAUAACUAGCUUUAUCUUGCCUUGGCUGCAUGCAAACAUUGAACUGUCUUCCUUGUGUCUAUAAGCAGCAUCCUCCUUCACCGAGACAUAGUGCUUACUGUCUCUUUGUUUUUGUUUAGAUUAAUGUACUUUUAUUAAAAACUAUAUGGUAAUAACAAUGCAGGAACAGAGACACAUGCAUAUAAAAUUUUUCCUUGUUUUAUAUUUAGGCAGAAAACCAUAGCAUCUAUCGCACAUCUUUCUCUGAUUUGACUUUAAAAUGACUCCAGUCUUUCUAAUUAUCAUCACUAUACCUAAGAAGCCCUUAUGGGGAGCUCCCCUUGUGGCUCAGCAGAAAUGAACCCGACUAGAAUCCAUGAAAAUGUAGGUUCGAUCCCUGGCCUUGCUUAGUGGGUUAAGGGUCCGGCGUUGCCAUGAGCUGUGGUGAAGGUCACAGACUCGGCUUGGAUCCAGCAUGGCUGUGGCUGUGGCCAGCAGCUGCAGCUGCAACUCCAAUUCCACCCCUAGCCUGGGGACUUCCAUAUGCCGUACCUGUGGCCCUGAAAAGCAAAAAACAAAAACAAGAACAAAAAUCCAGGAGUUCCCAUCGUGGCGCAGUGGUUAACGAUCUGACUAGGAACCAUGAGGUUGCGGGUUCGGUCCCUGCCCUUGCUCAGUGGGUUAACGAUCCGGCAUUGCCGUGAGCUGUGGUGUAGGUUGCAGACGCGGCUUGGAUCCAGCAUUGCUGUGGCUCUGGCAUAGGCCGGCAGCUACAACUCUGAUUCGACCCCUAGCCUGGGAAACUCCAUAUACCGUGGGAGCAGCCCAAUAAAUCGCAAAAAGACAAAAAAAAACAAAAAACCAAAACCCAGUCCUUGUAAUUGUUAGAAAAAUUUCAGAGCAUAUGGUUUGGAAAAUCUUAGUCUUAUAAUUAUUAUUAUUAUUAUUACUAUCAUUAUUUGCUUUUUAGGGCUGCACCCACGGCACAUGGAGGUUCCUAGGCUAGGGGUCUAAUUGGAGCUGUAGCUGCUGGCCCAUGUCAUAGCCACAGCAACGAAGGAUCUGAGCUGAGUCCAUGACCUACACCACAGUUCACGGCAAUGCCGGAUGCUUAACCCGCUGAACGAGGCUAGGGAUUGAACCUGAAACCUCAUGGUUCCUAGUCGGAUUUGUUUCCGCUGCACCACAACGGGAACUCUGUAAGUUUUUUUUUUCUUAAUCUUGUAAUUAUUAUUUUUCAAUUGUGGUAGGAGUUCCCUCUGAGGCACAGCAGGUGAAGGAUCCAGCAUUGUCCCUGCAGCAGUGCAGGUUUGAUCCCUGGCCUGAGUUAAGGAUCUAGUGCUGCUGCAGCUGGGGCUUGGAUUCGAUCCCUGACCCGUCACAGAUGCAGGCAAAAAAGAAAAAAAAUUUUUAAUAAAAAAAAAUUGUGGUGGAGUUCCCGUCGUGGCGCAGUGGUUAAUGAAUCUGACUAGGAACCAUGAGGUUGUGGGUUCGAUCCCUGGCCUUGCUCAGUGGGUCAAGGAUCCGGUGUUGCCAUGAGCUCAAGGCCAGGAUCGAACCUGCAACUUCAUGGUUCCUGGUCAGAUUCUUUAACCACUGUGCCACUGCAGGAACUCCAAAUAAUGUCCUUCUUAAGUGAAAGAAUAACAGGUAUAAUCAACAAUCAAUUGAUAAGAUCAGGUAUAUAAAGCCCUUUUGUUACAUUUCUCAGUAACUGAGAAAGUGAGUGACUGAUGACUAGGUUAUCCUUUUAUAAGUCAGAUGGUUUCUAAUUCUCUGCUUUCAUUAAAAUUGAAAGUAUACCUAACCAAGCUGUCAGCUCAUAGUAACUUAAUUUUUGAUGAUACAUAGCACUGUGAUUUUUGGCACAUAACUCUAAUUUCAAAAAAUUAAAAACUUUUUUUUUUGGCUGCACCUGUUAACACAUGAAAGUUCCUGGGCCUGGGAUUGAACCCCCACUGCAAUAACUAGAGGCACUGCAGCGACAACAACAGAUCCUUUACCAGGUGAGUCACAAGGGAACUCCUGAAAAAUAAUGUUAUAAUUAAAUUUCCUCCUUUAGUGAACAAGGAUUUCUAGAACUUAUAUUUAUAAAAAUAAGAAAACAGGAAUAGGGAAGCAUUUCUAAUAAACUUGUAUUUUUUUGUUUAGCAAUUAUUUAUAUAAAAAAAAUCUGUCCUUUUUUUGGGGGGCUGCACCCAAGGCACAUGGAAGAUCCUAGGCUAGGGGUCAAAUCAGAGUUGUAGCUAUGAGCCUACACCACAGUCACAACACCAGAUGGGAGGUGAGUCUGCAAACUACACCACAGCUCACGGCAAUGCCAGAUCCUAAACCCACUGUGCGAGGCCAGGGAUCAAACCCCAAUCCUCAUGGAUAGUAGUCGGGUUCGAUACCACAGAGCCAUGACAGGAACUCGGUAUUUAUAAAAAUUUAUAAUGUAUUUUUUGUUUGUUCUAUUUGCUAUAACUCAACUUUUUUUUUUUUUUUUAAUGGCUGCACCUGAGGGAUAUUUAAGUUCCUGGGCCAGGGAUAGAAUCUGAGCUCGCAGCUGUGGCAACGCUGGCUCCUUUAACCCACUGUGCCACACCUCUGACGCAACCGGAACUGCAGGAGUCAGACUCUUAACCCACUGCACCACAGUGGGAAUGCCUAACUCAACUUAAUGAGAUAAAUAUAUAUAACACACAGAACCUUAUAAACGCUACAUACAUUCUUCUUUAUAAAACACCUUUGUUUGUUUUUUGAGCUGCACCCACGGCAUAUGGAUGUUCCCAGGCAAGUGGUUGAAUUGGAGCUGCAGCUGCCGGCCUACACCACAGCCAUAGCAAAACAGGAUCCUUAACACACUGAGCGAGGCCAGGGGCCGAACCUGCACCCUCACGGAUACUAGCUGGGUUUGUUACAGCUAAGCCACAAAGGGAACCCCCUAAAACAACUUUAAAAAUGCAAAAAUAAGCAUAAGAGCUUUAUGAUCAAAGUAAACAAAAGUUUUUAAUACCAUUUUCUGUUGCAGAGAAAUAUGCUAGAGUGAUCAAAUACCUUUAAGGAUUCAUUAUGUCAGAAUAAAAGUAUGUGGGACAAGUGUAGAAGAAAUGCAAGUUCCAAAAGAAAAAGGAAUGACUUAAAAUUUUUGCUAAAAGAAAAGCAUUCUUUAAAUGGUUGAUGAAAGUGUAUCACUAAGGUAUUCAGAUUCCUCUAGCUACAUUUUAUUUUGCUUAUUAUUCUGGCCAUGCCUGUGGCAUACAGAAGUUCUCGAGCCAGGGAUCGAACUCAUGCCGCAGCAGAGACCGGAGCCAUGGCAGUGACAAUGCCGAAUCCUUAAACCUGCUGCACCAUAAGGGAACUCCUCCACUGGCUAUGUUUUUAAAAGUGACAUAACCAUUUUAUUUUUAAAUGUCAAUAUUUAUAAUUCUCUGGAAGUUAUAUCCUACGCAACUAUAAACAGCAUAUUUUUUGUCCUUUCUCUUUUCUCUUUUUAAAAUAGUUGAUUCAUAUUAAACAUAUUUAGCACUUAUUAGGCUCUGUGUUGCACUAAUUUCUUAUUUCAUAUAUUUCACUCAACAA
rnacentral:lncRNA from 1 species